AAGUUGUUUUCUAAUGCUCACGCGCUAUGGCCGAAGUCUGCAAUGGAUGGGAGAAAGGGGAGGACCAAAUUAGCUCAGAUUCUUUACAGUUCACAGCAUCAGCUGUUUUUAUUUAUUCGUUUUAGAUAGCAAAGCCAAAAAAAGUUGGAUGGGGGCAAAAAUGCCAACUAAAAUAGUCCAUAGUUCUGAAGUAGAGAGAAGUCAGAAUUUCCCAUUUUCUCUUGUUUCUCUCAGGGAUGGUCUAUAUGACUGGCGCUCCUUGGAAGCAGUGCUGAGGGCAUUAUCAAGAGUUUCCAGGGCCUCCUCUUUCUCCUGAAACCUUCUUCAAGGAGGGUAAAGUUUUAAGAGAGUUGAAGAGUACCACAGACUUCCAGGGAGUGGGAGUUUUUGUCGUGACAAGCAUGGACAUUUUCUUGCAUCAUGUACUGUUUCAGAAGGUAGAGACCACAAAAAGGCUUCUUACGGUGGCCACCGUGGACAUCUUCCCACAUCUACAAGGCGUUGUGGCCACAUCAUUGCUGCACCCAGUUUCCUCAGAAGAAGUACCUGUUGCUUAGGUUUAGAAAUGAGGCAUGUAUACGUAUUUAACACUUCUCAGAAUGUCAAGGAACCCUCCUCAGAGCAAGAGCUCGAAUUUACAAAAGAAGCACUACCUCCUUUAUCACAUAGUAAAAUAAAGGACCGUGUCUGCUCCAGGACAUGGCUGGUUACAAUUUUGUUUUAAAGAAAUCACCAGAGAAACCUGAGAUUCUAACCCAGCCUUUUGUUUGCCUGGGAUUAUAGCCCAGUUCUUACAAGCAGAGAAGCCUAGGACACUAACCCAGCUUCGAGAGUAUACUCAGAAUUUCAAGAAGCACAAUCUGUGCUGCCCAUGCUUCAACAGACUGUCAUCUGGAGCCCUGGAUUGGAUCAGGAGUCGGGCUCACCAGUGGAGCCCCAAUCAGUCAGUCAGGAGUGAAGAUGAAAGCUUCACAGCCAGCACAAGAGCACACAGGAGGCCGGCAUAAUCACAAAUUGCAGCUGUCUGAAGGGCAGUCACAUAAAAGAGGAGAAACUUCACCUUUGCUUCACAAGACACAUCUUGAACCAGGGAUGGAAAUUACAGAGAGGCCAAAACCAGCUCAGUAUGAGCAGCACUGAUAACAGACUGGCCAAGCAACAGAAGGGGCUGUCCUGUGAAGAAGCAAGCUCUCUGUCAAUGGGAGGUGCAAGCUGAGCCUUCACUACCUUUUGUCAUGGUUGCUAUGGAAAAGAUUAAGAGCCCUGGCCUGGCUGUUCCCACCUCAAACCACUUCUUAGCUUUAUUUGUUCUCAUAACAACAGGAUAGCUCUUCCUCCUCUGGAGGCCUGGGCAUCAGCAAGUUGGAUGGCAGUGGAAGGUGGAGAAAUGGAAUCCUGCUGGGGGCUCAGGAGGCCUGCCCCAUGAUGCUGCCGUGCACUGCAGAUGUCCUUGAUAAAGAGAAUGAAUGGAAGGAAUUGGAAGGGAGCUGAAGCUCAACAAAUGACCACCUAAUGAAAAAGUCAGCAGUGGAUCACUUGAGAUCUUGAGCACCCUGUACUGUUAUUCGUAUUUAUAAACAUGUUUGAAAGAUGUUCCCUUCCUUCACUGUAGUGCCAGAAAGCCUUUAACAUAUUGGGUCGGGUCUAGAUUUGUAAGGAAGUAUGGCUGAAUUGUUAUCAGGUGGAUACAGUCUACAUGUUUAAAGCUGUCUCUCAAUGGCAAAAGGGCAUACUGCUGUUAUUGUCAGUGAGGGGUCAGUAGUUUAAAUGAUGAAACGCUGGGGAUCAGCAUAAAAUAAACCAACUGCAUUGCAUGUAAGUAUCAAGUACAUGAGCAGAGACAGCCCCUGGUUUACAAACACCUGACUUAAACAUUGUCCGUCCUACAAGUAAAUUCCUCAUUCUUACUGCUGUGAGAACAAUUGUUAGGAGCCAAAAACUUCAGAGCUUUCAAAGAACUGUAAUGAGAUAGCACAAUGCAGGCAAAAAGCCAGUGUUAACGGAGCAAGAAACUUCCCAGUUCUGACAUUCACAGCAUGACCUAGAGCACGCAGAUUCGCCUCUCUGAGUCACUGAUUUCUCACCUGCAAAAGAAAGCGGGGACAGGGAAGGAGGAAGACGCUUCAAAAGGUUGGAACAGUUGAAGGAGCGCUGACACGGUAAAGGCCACUUUGCUCACCAGCACCAGGCGCGCUGCCGAAAAUUUCCAUGCCGUUUUCUCCCAAGACCUUACUCCUACUACGUGGAGACAUAUUUGAAUUAAAAAAAGCCCUCUUUUAAAAGUC
rnacentral:lncRNA from 1 species